UACGAAGGUCCCAAGCGUUAUCCGGAAUUAUUGGGCGUAAAGCGCAUGUAGGCGGUUUGUUAAGUCUGGUGUGAAAGCUCAAGGCCUAACCUUGAAAUUGCAUUGGAAACUGGCAAACUAGAAUACUGGAGGGGUAAGUGGAAUUCCAUGUGUAGCGGUGGAAUGCGUAGAUAUAUGGAGGAACACCAAUGGCGAAGGCAGCUUACUGGACAGUUAUUGACGCUGAGGUGCGAAAGCGUGGGGAGCAAACAGG
rnacentral:rRNA from 1 species